UUAGGCUCAAAACAACAUUCGAAGGAGAAAAAAAAAAGGGAAGGAAGAACAGCCGAGAGAGAGAGUGGGUUUGUGUGUGUGUAGGCUGCUGGGAACAAAAGAAAGCCAAGGAAAAAGCUAUGGAUUAGAGAGGGAAAUGAAGAAAAAGAAAAGGGGAAGUAGAGGAGAAUCAAUUAAAAUGUUGAAAUUAAAGUUUAAGGUCACGCGCCAUUGUCUGCCUGAUUUAUCUGAUAUGUCCAGUCUAUCUAAUUUGCUUCUGUAGCCAUCUGUGAUCAGGCGCGUGACCAGGCUUAGAGGCAUCUGUCUAGAAUUUGUUUUGUUAGCCAACCUAUCUGCCACCCGUGGAGGUUCCGGAUAUGGAAAAGAUGUGGUGAUGCCGCCUAACUAAAGACGAGGAAAUGUGUGUUGAGAGUACGAG